AGAGAAACUCGAAGUUUAUUGAAGAAAACCUGCUCCCGACCAGUUUGUAAUUGGUUAGCGCUGAUAACCAGAAGCAUAAGAGGUUAUUGGAUUCAGGAGGCAAUGCAAGCUCCUAAAUACUUCCAUGUUCACAUGAGGACUAUUACUCACCCAG